AUAUGGUAGUCUGUUAGUAUAGUUGAAGGAUUUGGAAAAUUCCGCUAAAGAGGGUGAAAGCCCCGUAGACGAAAUGCUGACAACACCUAGGAGGAUCCUGAGUACGGCGGAACACGAGAAAUUCCGUCGGAAUCCGCGGGGACCAUCCCGCAAGGCUAAAUACUCCCUAGUGACCGAUAGUGAACCAGUACCGUGAGGGAAAGGUGAAAAGCACCCCGGAAGGGGAGUGAAAUAGAUCCUGAAACCGUGUGCCUACAACAAGUCAAAGCUCGUUAAUGAGUGAUGGCGUGCCUUUUGUAGAAUGAACCGGCGAGUUACGAUUGCAUGCGAGGUUAAGUCGAAGAGACGGAGCCGCAGCGAAAGCGAGUCUGAAUAGGGCGAAUGAGUAUGUAGUCGUAGACCCGAAACCAUGUGAUCUACCCAUGUCCAGGUUGAAGGUGCGGUAAAACGCACUGGAGGACCGAACCCACGUACGUUGAAAAGUGCGGGGAUGAGGUGUGGGUAGCGGAGAAAUUCCAAACGAACUUGGAGAUAGCUGGUUCUCUCCGAAAUAGCUUUAGGGCUAGCCUCGGAAUUGAGAAUGAUGGAGGUAGAGCACUGUUUGGACUAGGGGCCCAUCUCGGGUUACCGAAUUCAGAUAAACUCCGAAUGCCAUUCAUUUAUAUCCGGGAGUCAGACUGCGAGUGAUAAGAUCCGUAGUCGAAAGGGAAACAGCCCAGACCACCAGCUAAGGUCCCAAAAUAUAUGUUAAGUGGAAAAGGAUGUGGGGUUGCACAGACAACUAGGAUGUUGGCUUAGAAGCAGCCACCAUUUAAAGAGUGCGUAAUAGCUCACUAGUCGAGUGACCCUGCGCCGAAAAUGUACCGGGGCUAAACAUAUUACCGAAGCUGUGGACUACACCAUUAGGUGUAGUGGUAGGAGAGCGUUCUAAGGGCGUUGAAGGUCGAUCGUGAGGACGGCUGGAGCGCUUAGAAGUGAGAAUGCCGGUAUGAGUAGCGAAAGACAGGUGAGAAUCCUGUCCACCGUAUGACUAAGGUUUCCUGGGGAAGGCUCGUCCGCCCAGGGUUAGUCGGGACCUAAGCCGAGGCCGAUAGGCGUAGGCGAUGGACAACAGGUUGAUAUUCCUGUACCAGUUGUUUUUGUUUGAGCAAUGGAGGGACGCAGUAGGCUAAGGAAUGCAUGCGAUUGGAAGUGCAUGUCCAAGCAAUGAGUCUUGAGUAGAGUUAAAUGCUUUACUCUUUAAGGACAAGUUGUGACGGGGAGCGAAAUAAUAGUAGCGAAGUUCCUGAUGUCACACUGCCAAGAAAAGCUUCUAGUGAGAAAACAACUGCCCGUACCGUAAACCGACACAGGUAGUCGAGGAGAGU
rnacentral:rRNA from 1 species